rnacentral:lncRNA from 1 species
GCCACCACGCCCAGCUAAUUUUUGUAUUUGUAGUAGAGAGAGGGUGUCACCAUGUUGGCCAGGCUGGUCUUGAACUCCCGACCUCAGGUGAUCCACACGCCUUGGCCUCCCAAAGUGCUGGGAUUACAGGCACGAGCCACCGCGCCCAGCCAAUUGUACCACUUUUUGUGAAAUAACGGUGCAUUUGUGCAGGUGGCACUUUCUGUCCCUGAUUUUUUUGUCAUAGUUCUUUACCUCAGACAUCUCUGAUAGUCAUACAAUUAAUAAAGAAGAGUACUUAAACAUUCUCUCUGGUUUCCAGAUUCCGAAAUUUUUAACCUCUGAAGCUGUGCCUUCACAUGAUCUAGGACAGCGUUCAGAAGAUGGCUACAGUCUGUUGGUUUGUAUUCUGUGAAAAUAGAAAAAAAAAUCCGGUAAGCGCAUAUUAUGUACCUACCUUCUGCCAAACAACAAAGUAUCAGUUUUGAAGUCUUAAAGAGUGGAGUCUGUGUUGCUUUCUUUUCUGGAUUUUUAUGAUAUUAAGUAUUGACUGGUGAGUGCGUUCUUGGCUGAGUUGCUGCUUUGUAAGAAAUGGGCUUUUUCUUUCUCUUGCUGGACAACUGUUCCAAAUGCAAGAAGAAGGGAAAAAAUCGAUAUCUGGCAUAUGGAGAUGGGGGAGGGGAAGCAGAGUCUCAUAUUUUCCCACCCUUGGGCAUCCAUAAAGCUUUACCAAAUUACUCCAGGCCUUGGGUUCAUUGCCAGAGGAAGUAGCAUCGACAGUUGUGUAGUAAUGGGCCAGGGUUACUCUGCGUGUUUUUGAAAUAUAGGACUGAAGUCCACAUUUGCAAAGCUGACACUUCUACGCCUAACUUCUAAUUCCAACUUGAAUCUAAAGCCACAUAUCCUUCCAUGGCUCUCAGAAAAGAAUCCAAAAUGAUUGGGGUUUAAAGAUGGCUCAUAGGUUUCAUUCCCAUGUAAGAAUAACACAUUUAGUUAAAUAAUAUAUAUCUAUUGUAUAUAUAUUAUAAUAAUGUACAUUCAUAUACAAAUAAAUAUAAGAAACAACUUCAUGUAACUUUUGGAAGCAUAAGUGUGCUUGAGUAUUUAUGAAACAUUUCAUGUGACCCAAAAGACUGCAGUUUAGUAGAAAUUUAAUAUAGUAGUGAACAAUAUUCAGAGUGGUAAAUUAAUAUUACUCAUGAAUUAUUUUAAGCUAGUUAAUAUAAGCAUAGUGUAAUAUAAACGUUAAUGUUCCCUGUAAUAAUCCAUGUAAAGUAGAAAAGCAAGAACACAUCUUUCAUUUUAAUUUACUCAGUGUUUUCUCUAGGAAUUUCAUGGUGCCUUUAAACUACCAAAUAAUCAUUCAUUCUUCAAAGUCCAGCAGUGGCACCCUAUUCCUUUUUUCAAACCAGGAAAUGACCAUAACCGUGGGGAAAUGAUGUAACUGCUAAGAAUUGAAUGUGAUGGCCCAGCUUGAGUGAUGUAAGUGGCUGUAAAUCAUGCUGUCUAGCUGUGUGUAAGAACCUGUCAAAUGAAUCACAAAACAUUAACCUGACCUACAGAAAGCAUCGGGGUUAUUUUUUGCCACACUCAAUAUGGACGGCAAGUCACGCGGAGAAUUUGCUCCAGGCCUCAGGCCUCCUCGGCCUCUCCCUCCUCUCCUCUUUCUGAUUGGAAGAGAGAGGCCACCGGCUUUGUCGUCUGCACCACUAUAGGCCCAGUGUCCUAUCCAUCGUGGUGUCAUCGCUUUGCUCUUGAGAGCAAGUAAACAAACAAGUAUUGCUCAAGAGGAGUGCAGGGAGCUAUUCUCAGAAAGGAUUUGGUCAGGAGGAUUUAGGGGUUGACACUGAAUAGACUGCAGUCUUCAGAAUGUCUUCCCUGGAGAAUCCAGGGAAUAAGUAGCUAGAGCAGGCUGUAUGUUCAGUGUCUUCCUCCCCAGGGAAGUCUGGCCUGUUCAGCUUCAAGAAUCUGCAAAGUAGAACGCGUGGUAAAGCACUGACAAAUCAGUCACGCGACCCGCAGCUGUUUCCUAAAUGAGUGUGUAACACCAGGUGGAACGGGCUGAGGUUCCACCAUGUUUUUGUUUGCCUGUUUGUUUAAUUCUAAACAAAUUCUGUAGGACUGCUGUGUUUAUAGCUUUUGCUCCAUUCUGGGACUGUUAACGUGUGCAACUGUGGAGGCUCCAUCAGCCCGCUUAUUUUAAACUGCAAUCCUCUUGUUCAAAGUUUGAAUAUUUUCCCUUCUUUCCAGUUAGUGUGACUAGUUCUUUUGAGCAGUGGGUAAGAUCCCAUUUUUUCACAUCCGGAUGUUGAGAACUCAUUGGGAUACAGUUAACGUGGCUUUCUUUCUUUCUUUUUUUUCUCUCUGUCGCCCAGGCUGGAAUGCACCAUUGCCCAGUGCAUGUGGCGCCAUCUCGGCUCACUGCAAGCUCCGCCUCCCGGGUUCACACCAUUCUCCUGCUUCAGCCUCCUGAGUAGCUGGGACUAUAGGCGCCCGCCAACACGCCCAGCUAAUUUUUUGUACUUUUAGUAGAGACGGGGUUUCACUGUGUUAGCCAGGAUGGUCUCGAUCUGACCUCAUGAUCCACCCGCCUCGGCCUCCCAAAGUGCUGGGAUUACAGGUGUAAGCCACCGCGCCCUGCCCAGUUAACAUGGUUUUCCUCAGUCCAAGAAAUACUACUUGUGACCUUUGAGGCAACCAAUUGGAAAAUGCCCAGCCCUAUAUUCGACUUACUUCCUUAGAUGUUAUCAGUUCUCACUAACAAAGAGGUCAUUAUUGUAAAGCCUCAUCAUAGUGUUAAAACAAAUGAUCUCUUCUAUCUAGUUCUUCCUCGUUUUAGAAUGCACGCACCUUCCUUAUUCUUUAAAGGAUACAUUUCUACAUAAAGGAUUGUAAACGUGUUCCAAGGACGUAUUCAGCUGUCAGGAUUCAAUGUGUAGUAGUUUUCUGCUGGCACUGUCUUUCCCCUUGGGUUCCUUCCCACCAACAGGUAUUGCUGAAGCGCUCACGGUCAUUCUUUUCUUUCUAUUAUUAUUAUUUUUGUAGAGAUGGGGUUUCACUUCGUUGCCCAAGCUAGUCUCCUGGGCUCAAGCAAUCUUCCCUGCUCAGCCUCCCAAAGUGUUGGGAUUCUGGGUGUGAGCCACCACUCCCAGCCUUUUCUUUCUAUUCUAAAUGGUCAGUGCUAAUUCCAUCCUUCCACAACUUUGGGUACACAGCCUUCCAUUAUUCUUGCUGUCUGUCUUUUGUCCCUCUAAUCCUGUGCUUUUCAUCCUUGGUUAUUCAUAUAUCACCAACCAUCUUCUAUGGUUACUAUUUUCUUUCAAACAGCUCAUUUUUUAUUUAAGGUAUAUUAAAAUAGAUUUGCCAUUGCAGUAAUGACCCUGCAAUCAUAAGUCUGAUGUACUAGUUACAUGUCUCAAAUACUAAACCAGAAUAAAGGCCGGGUGCAGUGGCUCGUGCCUGUAAUCCUAGCACUUUGGGAUGCCGAGGUGGGUGGAUCGCCUCUGGUCAGGAAUUCAAGACCAGCCUGGCCAACAUGGCAAAAACCCAUCUCUAUUAAAAAUACAAAAAUUAGCCAAGUGUGGUGGCACUCGCCUGUAAUCCCAGCUACUCGGGGAGGCUGAGGCAGGACAAUAGCUUGAACCCGGGAGGCGGGGAGUGAGACUCCGUCUCUAAAUAAAUAAAUACAUAAAUAUAAAAUGUUUCUGUACCACAUAAAAUCGUCCUGCAUACAAUUCAUCUGCAUACCACGCUGCUCACUGAAGCCUGAGUUGGCUUCCCAAAACACCACUUUCAUCACUGUGUCAUUCCCGAAUUUGCGAGGGCUUCAUCUGUCUUCCACGAGUUCACAUUCUAACUCCAACCUAUAUUUUAUCUCUUUUUCUUGUCAUUUUUCAUUUCCAUCCUAUAUUUUCAGCUUCUGCUCAGACCACACCCUGGACUGAACCAGCCUCCUGUUUCCCUCAGGCCUCCUGAGGUCCCUGAUCUCCGGCAAGUGAUGCUCCUUCUCACCAUCGUCUGUGCCAUUGCCUUGAAAACUCCCUUCCUGGCCUCGCCUACUACAUGAGCCAGGGACAACCAGCUGUCCUUUUAUUCUUUUCUUUUUUUUUUUUGAGAAAGAGUCUUGCUCUGUCGCCUAGGCUGGAGUGCAGUGGCUCAAUCUCGGCUCACUGCAACCUCCACCUCCCGGGUUCAAGUAAUUCUUCUGCCUCAGCCUCCUGAGUAGCUGGGAUUACAGGUGCCCGCCACCAUGCCCGGCUAAUUUUUGCAUUUUUUCAGUAGAGACAAGGUUUCACCAUGUUGGCCAGGCUGAUCUUGAACUCCCAACCUCAGGUGAUCUGCCCGCCUUGGCCUCCCAAAGUUCUGGGAUUACAGGUGUGAGCCACCAGGCCUGGCCGCUAUCCUUUUUUUCUAGAACAUUCUCCCAUCAAGUGUUCUCCUCCUGGCUAACUCCAAAUUUUCCUUUGAUUUAUAAAUGUCAUUUCCUCAAAGAACCUUUGAUCAUCCAAAGUCUGGUCUCUGCUAUAAGAUCUUGUUAGUUUUACUUAUUGUUAGAGCAUUACAAUUUAUAAUUUAUGUAUUUAUCUAUGUGGUUACUUGUUUAAUGGCUGAUCUCCCUGGUAGAUAGCAGGAUGUUAUUAGUUGAAACCAUUUUUUUUUUUUUU